rnacentral:ncRNA from 2 species
GCCUUGCGCCCUUUCCGAGGUUCUUCUUCGCCCGGCGAAGAAGCUAAGAGGGAACAGGGUCGAUGCCCUGGCUGCCCCCGCAACUGUGAACGGAUGACGUCCUUCGACAUGCCACUGCCCUGAGGGAUGGGAAGGCGAAGGAUAGUGCCCGAGCCGCCUAUGAUUUCGCCAGAGAUCGCAGCAGGCUUCCGGGCUUGCGCCGUGAGCCAGGAGACCUGCCUCGUGAAAGUGUUCGAC